ensembl:snRNA U6 U6 spliceosomal RNA
GUGUUCACUUCAGCAGCACAGAUACUAAAAUUGGAAUAAUACAGAAAAGAUUAGGGUGGUCCCUGAAUAAGGAUGUCAAACGAAUUCAUGAAGCAUUCCAUAAAAAA